rnacentral:rRNA from 1 species
CGAAAGAGUGGCUAAUACCGCAUGAGAACUGAGGUUGAAAGGCGGGGACCGUUCGGGCCUCGCGCUACUGGAGCGGCCGAUAUCAGAUUAGGUAGUUGGUGGGGUAAAGGCCUACCAAGCCGACGAUCUGUAGCUGGUCUGAGAGGACGACCAGCCACACUGGGACUGAGACACGGCCCAGACUCCUACGGGAGGCAGCAGUGGGGAAUUUUGGACAAUGGACGCAAGUCUGAUCCAGCAAUGCCGCGUGCAGGACGAAGGCCUUCGGGUUGUAAACUGCUUUUGUACAGAACGAAAAGGCUCUGGUUAAUACCUGGGGCUCAUGACGAUACUGUAAGAAUAAGCACCGGCUAACUACGUG